rnacentral:rRNA from 1 species
AACGAACGCUGGCGGCGCGCCUAACACAUGCAAGUCGAACGGGGGUCGCACCUUCGGGUGCGGCCCGAGUGGCGGACGGGUGAGUAACGCGUGGGAACCUGCCCCGGGCACCGGGACAACCGCGGGAAACUGCGGCUAAUACCGGAUGAUGCCAUUCGCAAGAGUGGCCAAAGUCGCGAUCUUCGGAUCGGGGCGGCGUGGGAGGGGCCCGCGUCCGAUUAGCUGGUUGGUGGGGUAACGGCCCACCAAGGCGGUGAUCGGUAGCUGGUCUGAGAGGACGAUCAGCCACACUGGGACUGAGACACGGCCCAGACUCCUACGGGAGGCAGCAGUGGGGAAUCUUGGACAAUGGGGGCAACCCUGAUCCAGCGACGCCGCGUGGGUGAUGAAGGCCUUCGGGUUGUAAAGCCCUUUCGCCGGGGACGAUGAUGACGGUACCCGGGGAAGAAGCACCGGCUAACUCCGUGCCAGCCGCCGCGGUAACAC